GAUGAACGCUGGCGGCGUGCCUAAUACAUGCAAGUCGAGCGAACAGACGAGGAGCUUGCUCCUCUGACGUUAGCGGCGGACGGGUGAGUAACACGUGGAUAACCUACCUAUAAGACUGGGAUAACUUCGGGAAACCGGAGCUAAUACCGGAUAAUAUAUUGAAUCGCAUGGUUCAAUAGUGAAAGACGGUUUUGCUGUCACUUAUAGAUGGAUCCGCGCCGCAUUAGCUAGUUGGUAAGGUAACGGCUUACCAAGGCGACGAUGCGUAGCCGACCUGAGAGGGUGAUCGGCCACACUGGAACUGAGACACGGUCCAGACUCCUACGGGAGGCAGCAGUAGGGAAUCUUCCGCAAUGGGCGAAAGCCUGACGGAGCAACGCCGCGUGAGUGAUGAAGGUCUUCGGAUCGUAAAACUCUGUUAUUAGGGAAGAACAAAUGUGUAAGUAACUAUGCACGUCUUGACGGUACCUAAUCAGAAAGCCACGGCUAACUACGUG
rnacentral:rRNA from 1 species